AGAGUUUGAUCAUGGCUCAGAGCGAACGCUAGCGGCAGGCUUAACACAUGCAAGUCGAGCGGGAUGACUUCGGUCAUCCAGCGGCGCACGGGUGAGUAACACGUAGGUAACGUACCCUUUGGUGAGGAACAACCCAGGGAAACCUGGGCUAAUGCCACCUAUGUCCUUCGGGAUGAAAGUCGAAAGACGCCAGGGGAUCGGCCUGCGGCCCAUUAUCUAAUCCUAGUUGGUAAGGUAACGGCUUACCAAGGGUACGAUGGGUAGCUGGUCUGAGAGGAUGAUCAGCCACACUGGGACUGAGACACGGCCCAGACUCCUACGGGAGGCAGCAGUGGGGAAUAUUGCGCAAUGGGCGAAAGCCUGACGCAGCCAUGCCGCGUGAGUGAUGAAGGCCCUCGGGUCGUAAAGCUCUGUCGGGAGGGACGAAGGGUGGCAACACUCUGACGGUACCUCGCAAGAAAGCACCGGCUAACUCCGUG
rnacentral:rRNA from 1 species